rnacentral:rRNA from 1 species
GACAGAGGUGCCGAGCGUUAGGCGGAAUCACUGGGCUUAAAGCGUGUGUAGGUGGAUGCCUAAGUACCUUGUGAAAUCCCACGGCUUAACCGUGGAACUGCUUGGUAUACUGGGUGUCUUGAGCCAGCUAGGGGCUACCGGAACAAAUGGUGGAGCGGUGAAAUGCGUAGAUAUCAUUUGGAACGCCAAUGGUGAAAACAGGUAGCUGGGGCUGUGCUGACACUGAGACACGAAAGCCAGGGGAGCGGACGGG